AUUGAACGCUGGCGGCAGGCCUAACACAUGCAAGUCGAGCGGACGAAGGGGGAUUGCUCCUGUAUGCCGCGGCGGACGGGUGAGUAAGUCCUAGGUAUCUGACUGGCCGUGGGGGAUAACGUCCGGACACGGGCGCUAAUACAGCAUACGUCCAGAGGGUGAACGUGGGGGAUCUUCGGACCACACGGUAUUAGAUGAGCCUAGGUCGGAUUAGCUAGUUGGUGGGGUAAAGGCCUACCAAGGCGACGAUCCGUAACUGGUCUGAGAGGCUGAUCAGUCACACUGGAACUGAGACACGGUCCAGACUCCUACGGGAGGCAGCAGUAGGGAAUAUUGGGCAAUGGGCGAAAGCCUGAUCGAGCAAUGCCGCGUGAGUGAUGAAGGUCUUCGGAUUGUAAAGCACUUUAAUUUGGGAGGAAGAGAAGUGAGUGAAUCUCUUGAUGUUUUGACGUUACCAACAGAAUAAGCACCGGCUAACUUCGUG
rnacentral:rRNA from 1 species